UUCUGGGAGGUUUUACAGAUUGAGAGCUCUUUCUUGAUACGGUGGAUGGUGGUGCAUGGCCGUUCUUAGUUGGUGGAGCGAUAUGCCUGGUUGAUUCCGAUAACGAACGAGACCAUAGCCUAUUAAAUAGGUGCCUGGUUCUCUGCACCUUGCAUCCUUCUUAGAUGGACAAGCGGCUCCUAGCCGCACGAAACAGAGCAAUAACAGGUCUUUGAUGCCCUUA
rnacentral:rRNA from 1 species